CUUUGCUUCCCUAGUGGGUGUGAAGCCUGCUUGCUCUGUGUGUGUUAACCUUGGUAGUAGGGGUUUUAGUCUGUUGGCUAGCAUGCGGAAGAAGAUUUUUACGUCGUUAAUGAGGGAAAUUGGUCUAUAAUUGCUGCAUCUGGUGUGGUCCUUGGCUGGUUUCGGGAUCAGGGUGAUUGUGGCUUCCAAAGCUUGGGGGCUAAAUGUGGUUCCUGACUUCAGUGAGUUAAAUGUUGUCAGCAUGUGUGGGCCCAUUUGUGGGGCGAAUAUUUUAUAUUUGUUUGAG